UCGAGUAGUCGAUUGGGAAUCAUUUCAUCCAAUAUAAGGUUUCUUGGACUCGUCCUUUUGCGUGCUCGUGAUCGUCAUCGAAGUCAUCACACCGGCUAGCAACUUUUGGUAUCUUUUUUUGUAGUCGGUCUAGGAGAACAUUUUGGCAUGUAUAGGCUAAUAUGCUUUGUUGAACUUUGGUAUGUAAACUUUUAGCCAUGCGAAAAUGGCAUAAAUGUUCGGUUGGAUUUAGUUCUCUAAUGUUAAGUUGCAAGUCUUGGUAAUUGAUUUUUA